rnacentral:tRNA from 1 species
UUAAUAAUAAUAAAAAGAUAAGCUAGUGGGCUCAUACCCCACCUAUGGGAACUUCAACUUCUCUCUUUUUAAU